GAUGGGCCUGCGGCGCAUUAGCUAGUUGGUGGGGUAACGGCUCACCAAGGCGACGAUGCGUAGCCGACCUGAGAGGGUGAUCGGCCACACUGGGACUGAGACACGGCCCAGACUCCUACGGGAGGCAGCAGUAGGGAAUCUUCCGCAAUGGGCGAAAGCCUGACGGAGCAAUGCCGCGUGAGUGAUGAAGGUUUUCGGAUCGUAAAGCUCUGUUGCCAGGGAAGAACGCUUGGGAGAGUAACUGCUCUCAAGGUGACGGUACCUGAGAAGAAAGCCCCGGCUAACUACGUGCCAGCAGCCGCGGUAAUACGUAGGGGGCAAGCGUUGUCCGGAAUUAUUGGGCGUAAAGCGCGCGCAGGCGGUCAUUUAAGUCUGGUGUUUAAUCCCGGGGCUCAACCCCGGAUCGCACUGGAAACUGGGUGACUUGAGUGCAGAAGAGGAGAGUGGAAUUCCACGUGUAGCGGUGAAAUGCGUAGAUAUGUGGAGGAACACCAGUGGCGAAGGCGACUCUCUGGGCUGUAACUGACGCUGAGGCGCGAAAGCGUGGGGAGCAAACAG
rnacentral:rRNA from 1 species